CCCGGCUCUCAGCAUCCGGUAGUCGCGCGUCGCUAUUCGCGAGGAUAAUUCCCCUCGUCGAUUUUCGAUUCCGAUUCUGUCCUGGUGUUUCGCGUAAAAUCUUUAUCUGUUUCUAUCAGAUUGCGCGAUGACGAAUCGAUGGCCUUUUAUCGUUUCAAACCGUGAACAUCGAUUUCAAGAUGAUAUUCGAAUAAUACGACGCCGUGAAUUUCAUUAUUCAGGAAUCACGUCGAGGAUAUAGGAUAUCUCCCCAAAAGAAAAGACCGUUGAAAGGACUCGACGAGAGAGGACGCGUAGAGAGGGAAUCGUCACGCCACGUCAGAAGGAGGGCAUAACGAAGAAUAAAUAAUUAGCGUGCGGCUUCGGGACUGCGGUUUAGUCGCGCACGCGAUUAAAGGACGUCCUGUCCUUUAAUAACAUCCUGAGGGUUGCGGCCUUCCAAUUCUCUUUUCUUUUUUCUCUUCUCUUUUUUUCUUUUUUUUUUUUUUCCUUUUUUUCGGGGCUUUUUUCAGUUCGCCACAUCGAAUUAUCUACGUGGUACAGUAGAAAUAAUGAAAUUGUUUCGACGUGUUAAAUGACUUAUCGAAAAGUUGCUCGAUCAACGUUAUCAAUAUUUUUUUUUUUUUUUUUUUUUUUUUUUUUUUUUUUUUUUAUUUUUUUACAUUUGAAGUUGUAAGUUAUUUUGUUACAUUGUAAG